rnacentral:rRNA from 1 species
UACAGAGGGUGCAAGCGUUAAUCGGAAUUACUGGGCGUAAAGCGUGCGUAGACGGUUACAUAAGUCGGGUGUGAAAGCCCCGGGCUCAACCUGGGAAUUGCAUUCGAGACUGCGUAGCUAGGGUGCGGAAGAGGGAAGCGGAAUUUCCGGUGUAGCGGUGAAAUGCGUAGAUAUCAGGAAGAACACCCGUGGCGAAGGCGGCUCUCUGGGACGGUACUGACGCUGAGACGCGAAAGCGUGGGGAGCGAACAGG